GAUGAACGCUGGCGGCGUGCCUAAUACAUGCAAGUCGAGCGAACAGACGAGGAGCUUGCUCCUCUGACGUUAGCGGCGGACGGGUGAGUAACACGUGGAUAACCUACCUAUAAGACUGGGAUAACUUCGGGAAACCGGAGCUAAUACCGGAUAAUAUAUUGAACCGCAUGGUUCAAUAGUGAAAGACGGUUUUGCUGUCACUUAUAGAUGGAUCCGCGCCGCAUUAGCUAGUUGGUAAGGUAACGGCUUACCAAGGCAACGAUGCGUAGCCGACCUGAGAGGGUGAUCGGCCACACUGGAACUGAGACACGGUCCAGACUCCUACGGGAGGCAGCAGUAGGGAAUCUUCCGCAAAGGGCGAAAGCCUGACGGAGCAACGCCGCGUGAGUGAUGAAGGUCUUCGAAUCGUAAAACUCUGUUAUUAGGGAAGAACAAAUGUGUAAGUAACUAUGCACGUCUUGACGGUACCUAAUCAGAAAGCCACGGCUAACUACGUG
rnacentral:rRNA from 1 species